GGUCGCGUGGCCCAAUGGCAAGGCGUCUGACUACGAAUCAGGAGAUCGUGGGUUCGAGCCCCACCGUGACCU
rfam:Neonectria ditissima strain R09/05 contig_120, whole genome shotgun sequence.